rnacentral:rRNA from 1 species
GAUGAACGCUAGCGGCAGGCUUAAUACAUGCAAGUCGUGGGGCAGCAGGUUUGUAGCAAUACAGAUGCUGGCGACCGGCAAACGGGUGCGUAACACGUACGCAACUUACCCAUUACUGGUGAAUAGCCCAGGGAAACUUGGAUUAAUACACCAUAACAUAUAGAAAAGGCAUCUUUUUUAUAUUAAAGCUUCGGCGGUAAUGGAUGGGCGUGCGGUUGAUUAGAUAAUUGGCGGGGUAACGGCCCACCAAGUCUACGAUCAAUAGCUGAUGUGAGAGCAUGAUCAGCCACACGGGCACUGAGACACGGGCCCGACUCCUACGGGAGGCAGCAGUAAGGAAUAUUGGGCAAUGGACGAAAGUCUGACCCAGCCAUGCCGCGUGAAGGAUGAAGGUCCUCUGGAUUGUAAACUUCUUUUAUCUGGGGCGAAAACCUCCCUUUCUAGGGGGCUUGACAGUACCAGAAGAAUAAGCACCGGCUAACUCCGUGCCAGCAGCCGCCGUAA